UACGGAGGGUGCAAGCGUUAUCCGGAUUCACUGGGUUUAAAGGGUGCGUAGGUGGGUCUGUAAGUCAGUGGUGAAAUCUCCAAGCUUAACUUGGAACUGCCGUUGAUACUAUAGAUCUUGAAUGUUGUGGAGGUGAGCGGAAUAUGUCAGUGUAGCGGUGAAAUGCUUAGAUAUGACAUAGAACACCAAAUUGCGAAGGCAGCUCACUACACAAAUAUUGACACUGAGGCACGAAAGCGUGGGGAUCAAACAGG
rnacentral:rRNA from 1 species